UUGAUUCAUUUACUUAUGUCACUCAGAAGAUACUCAUAAAGACAGGAGUUUGGGGUCCUCCGGCGGGCGCCUGGAUCCGGGCCCGAGGGCGCCGGGGCGAGACCCGCCGAAGCAACGAUAGGUAUGUUCACAGGGGUUUGGGAGUUGUAAACUCGGUAAUGAUCCCUCCGCUGGUUCACCAACGGAGA
rnacentral:misc_RNA from 1 species